rnacentral:rRNA from 3 species
GGCCUAAAGCGUCCGUAGCCGGGCCCGUAAGUCCCUGGCGAAAUCCCACGGCUCAACCGUGGGGCUUGCUGGGGAUACUGCGGGCCUUGGGACCGGGAGAGGCGGGGGGUACCCCUGGGGUAGGGGUGAAAUCCUAUAAUCCCAGGGGGACCGCCAGUGGCGAAGGCGCCCCGCUGGAACGGGUCCGACGGUGAGGGACGAAGGCCAGGGGAGCAAACCGGAUUAGAUACCCGGGUAGUCCUGGCUGUAAAGGAUGCGGGCUAGGUGUCGGGUGAGCUUCGGGCUCGCCCGGUGCCGUAGGGAAGCCGUUAAGCCCGCCGCCUGGGGAGUACGGCCGCAAGGCUGAAACUUAAAGGAAUUGGCGGGGGAGCACUACAAGGGGUGGAGCGUGCGGUUUAAUUGGAUUCAACGCCGGGAACCUCACCGGGGGCGACGGCAGGAUGAAGGCCAGGCUGAAGGUCUUGCCGGACACGCCGAGAGGAGGUGCAUGGCCGCCGUCAGCUCGUACCGUGAGGCGUCCACUUAAGUGUGGUAACGAGCGAGACCCGCGCCCCCAGUUGCCAGCCCUUCCCGCUGGGAAGGGGGCACUCUGGGGGGACUGCCGGCGAUAAGCCGGAGGAAGGAGCGGGCGACGGUAGGUCAGUAUGCCCCGAAACCCCCGGGCUACACGCGCGCUACAAUGGGCGGGACAAUGGGAUCCGACCCCGAAAGGGGAAGGGAAUCCCCUAAACCCGCCCCCAGUUCGGAUCGCGGGCUGCAACUCGCCCGCGUGAAGCUGGAAUCCCUAG